GUUAAGUGACGAAGCGUAUACGGUGGAUGCCUUGGCAGUUAGAGGCGAUGAAGGACGUGUAAGUCUGCGAAAAGCUGUGGUGAGCCGACAAAAUGCAUUUGAGCCACAGAUGUCCGAAUGGGGAAACCCACCUAUUUAUAGGUAUCGUUAACUGAAUACAUAGGUUAACGAGGCAAACGAGGGGAACUGAAACAUCUAAGUA
rnacentral:rRNA from 13 species